GGGACAGGAGCGCUAGGAAACGGCUGUAACGGUCGCACCUGGCGUUCAACCGCUCGCACUUCGGCGCGGGACGCGGCAGCACCAGGAAGUAGGUGGUCCAGCCGGCCAGCAGGAGCGCCCCGAUGAGCACCGUAUAGCUGAGGAGCACGAAAGCGAGCAGUUCCCGCAGCAGCUGCAACACGUGGACGGUGGACGAGGCCGGCAUCGCCCUGCAGAGACCUGGAGCCUGAGCCCGCGUAGGAUGAAGUAAGUGUGUGGUUUUAAAAAAGUAUUCUGCUGAGUACAUUUUUGGAGCUGACCUUGCUAUUCUCUGAGCAAACAAAUACAGACUCAGAAACAAAUGCAGACACAUGAGAUUACAACCGGGCAUCUGUUCACUGCAUAAACACCCCAGCCAAAGAGACCUGACCAAACUUGAACAGAAUCCCAGGAGUGGAAAACACUGAAGACAAGGUAGGUUGCACUCCCUGGCACUGAGACUAGCCAGUGUCAAGGCUCGAAAGUAAAACCAACUCCCUGGAAGAACAAGAGCUGAAAAAGAGUGUUCUGAGCCAAGAAGGUUUCCCAUUUGGGAAUUGCCCCCACUUCACCCCCACCCUCCAAUACUGAAUAUCAAGGCUAAAUUCAUUCCAUGAGAAACAAACAUUAUCUUUGCCACCUUUCAUUCUUGUAUUUUUUAAUACACAAUUUCUUUCACUUACAAUGUGCAGUGAACUGUUCCUAAUUCUACAUGAAGAAAAUAAGAAGAAAAUUUGUGGUUAGUAGUUAACCAGAGCAACCACACCCUGGGAUGCGAGCUGAGCAAUGUUUAGACAGGCUAAGUUUUCUGAAGACUUGGAUGAUGGCAGAAAAGCCAUCACUGGGUCCCUUGCUUGGCACCCUUAACUUCUCCGGAUGCUGAGAUGAACGCCCAGCUUCACCAACAUGCCUGCUCUCAGUUGUGGCACCUGUCACUGCUGGACUGAGACUCACCACAGUGGCUGCAGUCACCAGCUCAGGGACCAAUCAGCUGAGUAUUUUCGAGCAAAAAUGAUGUGUGAACUUGAGUACAGCCGGUGUGCUAAAGAGGUGCAUAUGGCAGUUACCAUGGUCACAGAGCAGCAGGAAGAAACUUAAGAGCUGCGACUGCUCACAGUAGGAUCAGCUGGAUGCUGCGGCCACAACGGACAUGGAAGAAAACUGAAGCCCCAUUAGCGGCAUCUCCACUGGCAUGUCCUGGAGUUAACGUGCAGUCAAAAGAGCCUUUGUAUGGGUAAUUGGCAGAAGCGGCUUGCUCUUCAGCAGUCCUUCGUAGGCAGAGAACCUGCACAGAUGCAGCUAAAUCAGAGAGGGCAGAAACUUCAUUACAUCAAGAAACUCUUCAAAGCUGAUUUUUUUUCAGAAGGAAACAAAACUUGCCUUAGGAAUCAAACUGGUAAGAGACUGGCGACAAAUCCACAGGAAAGAACAAGUACUUGGACAAUGCUGGCUUAGUCCUCAACACAAAAGCACUAUCCUGGACACAGCAUGUCUUCCGGACUUAUCGUGGCUCUUCCAUGAGAGCCUCUAUCCAGCUGCUUCCAUUCAUCAGUUUAGUGGUCGCAAUUACAUACUCAGUGCCUCCAUCUUCCAACUGGGAGAGAAAGCGCAGGGCGGCGAUUUCAGCAAACGUGACACC